AUUGAACGCUGGCGGCCGGCUUAACACAUGCAAGUCGAGCGAGCGGCGGCCGGGUGAGUAAUGUCUGGGAAACCGCCUGCUGGAGGGGGAUCACUACUGGAAACGGUAGCUAAUACCGCAUACCAUCAGAUGUGCCCAGAUGGGAUUAGCGAGUAGGUGGAGUAAUGGCUCACCUAGGCGACGAUCCCUAGCUGGUCUGAAAGAAUGACCAGCCACACUGUAACGGUGACACGGUCCAGAAGCCUACGGGAGGCAGCAGGGGGGAAUAUUGCACAAUGGGCGAAAGCCUGAUGCAGCCAUGCCGCGUGUGUGAAGAAGGCCUUCGGGUUGUAAAGGACUUUCAGCGAGGAGGCGUUACUCGCAGAAGAAGCACCGGCUAACUCCGUGCCAGCAGCCGCGGUAAUAC
rnacentral:rRNA from 1 species